UCGCCUGUUUAUCAAAAACAUCGCCUCCUGCGAACCCCUACGUAUAGGAGGUCCAGCCUGCCCAGUGACUACAAGUUCAACGGCCGCGGUAUUCUGACCGUGCAAAGGUAGCGCAAUCACUUGUCUUUUAAAUGAAGACCUGUAUGAAUGGCCAAACGAGGGCUUAGCUGUCUCCCCCAUCAAGUCAGUGAAAUUGAUCUAUCCGUGCAGAAGCGGGUAUUAACAUACAAGACGAGAAGACCCUUUGGAGCUUAAGGUACAAAUCCACCUACGUUAAACAGCUUCCUAAACAAGCACAAACCUAAUAGAAUAUGGAAUUUUACCUUCGGUUGGGGCGACCACGGAGAACAAAAAAUCCUCCAAGUGGAUUGGGAACUUCCCUAAAACCAAGAAAGACAUUUCCAAGUCACAGAAAAUCUGACCAAAUAUGAUCCGGCCCCCCCGGGCCGAUCAACGAACCAAGUUACCCUAGGGAUAACAGCGCAAUCCCCUCCAAGAGUCCAUAUCGACGAGAGGGUUUACGACCUCGAUGUUGGAUCAGGACAUCCUAAUGGUGCAGCCGCUAUUAAGGGUUCGUUUGUUCAACGAUUAAAGUCCUACGUGAUCUGAUUCAGACCGGA
rnacentral:rRNA from 1 species